GACGAACGCUGGCGGCGUGCUUAACACAUGCAAGUCGAACGAAGUGGCGAACGGGUGAGUAACGCGUAAUCAACCCGUCCUUCAGAGGGGGAAAACAGUUGGAAACGACUGCUAAUACCGCAUACUGAAGUAGGGGAGUGCGUUUGAUUAGCUAGGUGGCGGGGUAACGGCCCACCAAGGCGAUGAUCAGUAGCCGGUCUGGGAGGUUGAACGGCCACAUUGGGACUGAGACACGGCCCAGACUCCUACGGGAGGCAGCAGUAGGGAAUCUUCCGCAAUGGACGGAAGUCUGACGGGGCAACGCCGCGUGAGUGAUGACGGCCUUCGGGUUGUAAAGCUCUGUUGAUCGGGACGCGGUACCGAAAUAGAAAGCCACGGCUAACUACGUGCCAGCCGCCGCGGUAAUAC
rnacentral:rRNA from 1 species